GCUGGGCGUGGUGACGCACGCCUGUGGUCCCAGGUACUCUGGAGGCUGAGGCAUGAGAAUUGCUUGAACCUGGGGGGCAGAGGUGGCAGUGACCCAAGAUUGUGCCACUGCACUCCAGCCUGGGUGACAGAGCGAGACCCUGUCUCAA
rnacentral:SRP_RNA from 1 species